rnacentral:rRNA from 1 species
ACUACGGGGUGCUGCAGUGGGGAAUAUUGGACAAUGGGCGAAAGCCUGAUCCAGCCAUGCCGCGUGUGUGAAGAAGGCCUUCGGGUUGUAAAGCACUUUCAGUGGGGAAGAAAGCCUUGGGGCUAAUACCCUCGAGGAAGGACAUCACCCACAGAAGAAGCACCGGCUAACUCCGUGCCAGCAGCCGCGGUAAUACGGAGGGUGCGAGCGUUAAUCGGAAUUACUGGGCGUAAAGCGCGCGUAGGCGGUCUGAUAAGCCGGUUGUGAAAGCCCCGGGCUCAACCUGGGAACGGCAUCCGGAACUGUCAGGCUAGAGUGCAGGAGAGGAAGGUAGAACUCCCGGUGUAGCGGUGGAAUGCGUAGAGAUCGGGAGGAAUACCAGUGGCGAAGGCGGCCUUCUGGACUGACACUGACGCUGAGGUGCGAAAGCGUGGGUAGCAAACAGGAUUAGAUACCCCAGUAGUC